rnacentral:rRNA from 1 species
AGACCCGAAACCCGGUGAUCUAGCCAUGGGCAGGUUGAAGGUUGGGUAACACUAACUGGAGGACCGAACCGACUAAUGUUGAAAAAUUAGCGGAUGACCUGUGGCUGGGGGUGAAAGGCCAAUCAAACCGGGAGAUAGCUGGUUCUCCCCGAAAGCUAUUUAGGUAGCGCCUCGUGAAUUCAUCUCCGGGGGUAGAGCACUGUUUCGGCUAGGGGGCCAUCCCGGCUUACCAACCCGAUGCAAACUGCGAAUACCGGAGAAUGUUAUCACGGGAGACACACGGCGGGUGCUAACGUCCGUCGUGAAGAGGGAAACAACCCAGACCGCCAGCUAAGGUCCCAAAGUCAUGGUUAAGUGGGAAACGAUGUGGGAAGGCCCAGACAGCCAGGAUGUUGGCUUAGAAGCAGCCAUCAUUUAAAGAAAGCGUAAUAGCUCACUGGUCGAGUCGGCCUGCGCGGAAGAUGUAACGGGGCUAAACCAUGCACCGAAGCUGCGGCAGCGAACGUAUCACCCAAGACAACUUUACGGAGUUGACGAUUGACGGAGCGAAGCGACGUCAAAGCGUUCAUUAAAGUCGAGUUGGCUUAGGGAUACGUUCGUUGGGUAGGGGAGCGUUCUGUAAGCCUGUGAAGGUGUGUCGUGAGGCAUGCUGGAGGUAUCAGAAGUGCGAAUGCUGACAUAAGUAACGAUAAAGCGGGUGAAAAGCCCGCUCGCCGGAAGACCAAGGGUUCCUGUCCAACGUUAAUCGGGGCAGGGUGAGUCGACCCCUAAGGCGAGGCCGAAAGGCGUAGUCGAUGGGAAACGGGUUAAUAUUCCCGUACUUGGUGUUACUGC